rnacentral:lncRNA from 1 species
GUGAUAAACUUAUUGAAUGACCGAUCUCCAUCGCAUAUUAAGAUAUAUACUUAAUAAUCACAAAUUUAGAUUGACAUUUUAUACUUAUUAAGUUCAUAAAUAUAAAACAAACUUAUUUUAAGUGGGAUCUAGUCAUACCAUAUGCAAAUCAAAUGCCUCAUGAUCAAGUAUAACCAUUAGACUUGUUGACUUGACGAAUGGAUCGACAAGAUUUAUAUCGAUGUAACUCUAUUGACUGAUGCCUUCACAUUUGAGCAACUAUUAGAUGUGAUGGUAGUUGUUGAGUAUCAUGUGAGCUUGCAUGACUUUGUGAAUGGAUCGACAAGAUUUAUAUCGAUGUGACUCUAUUGACUGAUGUCUUCACAUUUGAGCAACUAUUAGAUGUGAUGGUAGUUGCUGCGUAUCAUGUGAGCUUGCAGCUUGCAUGACUUUGUGAUCCAUACUUGAGGUAAGUUCAUCAUUUCAAUCACAAAAACCUUCAAAAUGAUCAUAAAUGAUCGAAAGAAAUUCAUUAUUUACAUGUGCUUCGAAUUUCAAUCAUUCAUUAUUUACAUUUGUUUUGAAUUUCAAUCAUUCAUAUAGCUUCCUUUGCAUCAUUAUUUACAUUUGUUUUGAAUUUCAAUCAUUCAUAUAGCUUCCUUUGCAGCCAAACUAGAUGCAACUCUAAGUUUAUUCUCAAAUCCAUUAUAAUGUAUUACUUGGUAGUCUCCAAUAAAUUAUUUAUAAAUUUCAACUACCAACGAAAUUGUCUUUGUUAGUUUGAAACUUAUGUAACCCUUACAAGUUACAAUGAAUUCUUUCAUACUACAAUCAUGUCCUUUGUCCUCCUAUGACACUAAGGAACAUACUCAAUAUUGAUUUGUUAAUUCUUGUCAAGUUGAUCCUAUCUAACCUGUUAUGCUCAAGAUAUUAAAGUCAUUGAUCCUAUCUAACCUGUGUUAUGCUCAAGAUAUUAAAGUCAUUGAUCCUAUCUAACCUGUUAUGCUAAGGACAUAUAAGUCAUUGGAUCUGGUAUAUGUCAUGGCUCUUUUAGCUCAAUACCAGAAUUAGGACAUUAGCUCAAUGUCGAGUCAUAAUUUAUGAACUAUUUCGAGUUUUCUCGAGACAUCUUGUACUUUAGCUUAUCCUAAUGAAUUAGGAUAGAUCUAUCUGCAUAAAUUAACACAUUCACUAUGUGUAUUGUUUCUCCCACUAACAUUGUAACACACAUGGCUCAUUUUUGUUUCUUGCAUUAGCAUAUAGAAUAUCAUCAUUUCUUGAAAUUCAAACAUUUUGAAGUUUUAAUCGGAACAAAGAUACUAAUUGCUCCAACUCUCAUUAACACACACAAAAGGUCCAUGUUCAAAAAACUAAUUUACAGACAUGUACAAAAAGUAAGUGUCUUUGUUACAAGUUUAUACAAGAUUAACAAGUGUAAAAGUAAAAGGCACAACAAUUGGGUUAAUUCUUAGUGUUGCAAACAUGGUUGUCUAAGAUAACUAAUCUUUUCAAACAAUGCAAGUGAAAAAACGUAAUUUUAUUAGAAUUUAAUCAUUUUUUUAGCUGACAAAAUGCAAUACAGCUAUUAACAGGGACUAUUUGAUACGAAAAAAAGAUUCAUAAAAACAUGAAAUAAUGUUAUUCUCAUGGCCAAUCCCAAGAGGUAAUUGCAGAGACUCCGCUCCUCAAGGCGAUAGGAUAUGACAAGUCCCAAAAGACAUUCAUCCAUGGGAUCCUUCACCUCAUACAAAGCAAAGGCUCAACCAUUCAAAAUGUCAAGGGAUCAAUCUUCGACGAUUUAUUUCAUUUGAGUUUUGCGAAGACGUAAAAACAUCGCCCCAAUUUUGUUUAAAUCGUCGAAAAAAAUUUCAAUCACAAACAUUUGUUGAAAAAUAGUAUUACUAGCAAAUGGAAAUAAAACAACAAAUCGAUUUGAAAUUUGGAAAGUGUUGAAUAAGAAGAUCUUCAGUUCAGGUCUCCAAUAAUUGUUUCCGCAUGGAUGUUAUCCUCGGAAGAACGAAAGUAUUAUCUGAAUCAUCAUAAGAGUCGUUCAAAAACGAAAAUCGAAAAGAUAUUUACAAAUUGAGGAAAAAUAAUCAAAAUCAAACAUGAAUUUAUUCUGCGUCUCUUCAGUUCAGGUCUCCAAAAACUUUCAGCAUGGUUAAUCUCAGAAGAACGAAAGUUAUUAAAUUUGAUUCAUCAUAAGAGACGCAGAAAACUAUUACAUAAAACAAGAAGAAUAGAAGGAUUUAUGAACAAUGAUAAAGCGAAACCUGACGACUAACGAGAUUUGGUUGAGCAUUUCGCAGCUCAUUAAGGCGAAAGAGAUAAGAACGAUGGAGGAUAUACCUGAAUGGAGGAGUGACGACCGCUUUAUAGAGCAAAACCCUAAAAUUGAAAUGCGAUUCAGGGGUUUUAGGGGUUUUAGGGUUUUGAAAGGGGAUUACAGCCGUGAUGGGCUAAGGUUACG